rnacentral:rRNA from 1 species
CGAUUCCCUACGGGGUGCAGCAGGCGCGAAAACUUUACAAUGCGAGCAAUCGUGAUAAGGAAACCCUGAGUGCCUGUCAACGCAGGCUGUUCUGGUGUCUAACACACACCAGGAGAAAGGGCGGGGCAAGACCGGUGCCAGCCGCCGCGGUAAUACCGGCUGCUCGAGUGAUAGCCACUUUUACUGGGCUUAAAGCGUUCGUAGCUUGGUCGUUAAGUCUCUGGGGAAAUCUUUUGGCUCAACCAAAAGGCGUCUCAGGGAAACUGGCGACCUAGGAACCGGGAGAGGUAAGACGUACUUCGGGGGUAGGAGUGAAAUCUUGUAAUCCCCGAGGGACGACCGAUGGCGAAGGCAUCUUACCAGAACGGCUUCGACAGUGAGGGACGAAAGCUGGGGGAGCAAACCGGAUUAGAUACCCGGGUAGUCCCAGCCGUAAACGAUGUGCGUUAGGUGUGUCAGCGACCACGAGUCGCUGAGGUGCCGAAGGGAAACCGUGAAACGCACCGCCUGGGAAGUACGGUCGCAAGGCUGAAACUUAAAGGAAUUGGCGGGGGAGCACCACAACGGGUGGAGUCUGCGGUUUAAUUGGAUUCAACGCCGGACAACUCACCGGAUACGACAGCGGAAUGAUAGUCGGGCUGAAGACUCUACUUGACUAGCUGAGAGGUG